ensembl:lncRNA
GGGAAGCCUGGCAUGCUGCAGUCCACGGGGUAAUAGAGUCGGACACGACUGAGCGACUGAACAACGAUGGCUUGUGGGAUCCUAGUUCCCCAAGCAGGACUGAACUUGGGCCUCAGCAGUGAGAGCUUGGAGUCUUAACCCACUGGACCACGAGGGAAGUCCCUUGGAUAAUUCUGUAUUGAUACACCCAUUCAGCCUCCAGCUCCUCAGACAGUUUUGAAGAUGAGACGUCAAGAACCUGAGAUUCAUUGGCUCUUGAAACCAGGACUGGGAUCUCAGUUGGUAGACUGUGGGUUUUGGCUGGGUUCGAGUUCCAGCACAUUGGUUCAAGUCCCAAUCUAAGAUAAUCAGUUUCAGAAGCAGGGAAUGGAGGGGCACGCUACUGCAGUAGUCCACAGAGGGAAGAUGAGCUGCCCCGCUGAGGGAGUGGAAAUGGUGAAGAGUAGUCAAAUUGGGGACUUCCUAGGUGGCUCAGUACUAAGGAAUCCACCUGCCAGUGUAGGAGAUGCAGGAGACGGAGACACAGGUUCGAUCCCUGAGUCAGGAAGACCCCCUGAGGAGGAAAUGGCAACCC